AGUGUUUGUUUUUUGCAAUAGAUUUUUGUUGCAGUUUAGGUUUGUAUUUUCUUUGUUUUGUAGUGCUUAUUAUGAAGGUUCGUAGGUUUAUGUCUGUAGGCCAGGCAGGUCAUUAAACUUAACAAAGAAUAAGUAAGUCGGGAGAGGGGAAUAGAAAUCUCCACAUACAUAUUCUUAAAAGCUGUAACACUCACCACAAAGAUCUGCUGAGUGAAGUCUGUGAGACGAACGCACCAAGUCUGGACGCUCUGUCAGGCUACAUUUUACGUUUUUGGGAGUGAGCAGGUGUUAUUCUGUUCCCCGGGUUGGUUUUGAAGUCAUGGCUCUCAAGUAAUUUUUGUGCUUCUCAAAAGUGCUGGAAUUGCAAAGAGUUCAAACAUUGAAUUAGUUGUGCAAUGGAAGGAGUAUUACCAGGACCCAGAUGCAGCCCAAGGAAAAAAGAAAACAAAAGGAGACACACACAGACACCAGAGCAUGAUGCAAGUGUGGCUUAAUCGGUGCUUGCACAUUGGGCUUGUUCUUUCCAAACCUGUUGCCCCGAUUCUGCAAGGCUAUCCUGCUGUAGAAGGAGGCCCUGGAGGACAAGACACCAUGUGGGGAAAACAGCCAUGGGGAGCAGAACCGAGGUAUCCCAGCUUAGCUCCCAACUGACAGCAGCCACAUGAGUGAGCAGAAAAACAACUUCCAAGGGUGAUUUAGCUACUGCUGCUGUGGAAUGUCAAAACUUUCAGCAAGGGAGCCCGAUGCAGAUCUGUUGAUAUGACACCAUUCCACAAGAAGACCAACUGAUGGCUUUGUGGCAAGUUGACUACACUGGGCUGUUUCUAUUCUGGGAAGACAGAGAUUUGUUCUAAGAGGAAUAGGCAUGUGUUGCAGGCAUAGGUUGACCUUUCCUGCCAUGGAGCCUCCUCUGGUACCACUAUUUGAAGGUUGAAGGAAUGUUGAUUCACCAGGAUUGAGUCAGACCAGCCAAGCCUAUGACCAUGAUGUCAACUGACUGUAUCACCUGUCACAUCAUCCAGAAGCUACAGACUUAUAAGGCAUUGGAAUAACUUGUAGAUGGCCCCGUUAAAGUACCAGCUUAGAGGCAACACUCCAUGAGAAUGAGACAUCAUCUCCAGGAUGGCACAUACACAUUGAAUCACACAGCAUUGAUAAGGAGAUGGCUCCCCAGUAGGAAGAAUAUAUUGGUCAUGAACCAAGGGAUGAAGCAGAAGUGUCUUGCUUCCUGUCCCUGCAGCCUCUCUUUCUGCAGUGCUAGAAAUCCUGGUCAAAAGGGGGCAUAAUUUUAUCAGGGGACACAGCAAAAGUCUCCACUACAUUGCAGCUAUGCCUGCUGCCUGGGGAUUUUGGGCUUCUUAUAAUUGGGACCAGCAAUAAAAGAGAAGAGUCACAGUCUUGGCAGGGCUAAUUGACCCUGAUCAGCAGGAGAAGAAAGGCUGUGGUUCCACUAUGAGGGUAGGGAAGACGUGUGGCACCACUGAUCCACUUUUGCAACCCAUGGUACUCCCGUGGCCAGUUGUGAUGACAGACAAGUGCAGGAACACUUUUGGGAAGGGCAUGGUGGCCAGAGUUCAGACCCCAUGGGAAUGAGGACCAGGGUCACACCACUGGAUAAGCCAGGAGGAAGAGAGGCCCACUGGAAGGCUGGAGGAGCUGCUCCCCAGAUGUAGAUGAAGUAGAUUUGAGCAGCACAGUGGUGGACCUAGUAGAGGCGGACAUCAAGAUCCUCUUCAAGGAAAGAUUAUCAAUAUAGUUUUCCCUGACCCAGAUUCUUCCCUUGACAUCACACCAGGAAAGUCUGACAACUUAACUUUAUUGGAUAUAGGCAACCGUUGAAUCCAAGUUUUGCCCACUGAAUCCAUCAAAUUGUUACAGCCAAUUCUAGAUGCCUGAGUGGACACAUGAAAUCCAGAUUCCCCAGUAAGCGCAUCCCCAUUAAUAAACUGACCAAAUGCAAUGUUAAUCUGUUCUAUAACCUUUAGAAUCCAUCCCAACAUAUAUUUUUUAGGUUCCUGCCAAGAUAUGUUAGCAAAAGCUUGCAAUUUUUUGAAAAAUGAAUUAUCUCUUCCUGGGACAUGUGUUGUACUUUUCUCUCUGAAAUAGGCUGAGCUCUGACUCCAUUAAAAGUCUGAAAGCAAUGAAGAGUGAAGGAGCGGAUAUUGGGGAGAAUAGGCAUCCUCUUGCAAGAUAACUGCCUCAAAGUCAUUAUAAGGUUUUCAAGCAAGAGAAAGCUAAUUUCCUUACACAUAUGAAGAAGCGUUGCUUCUCCUGGCAAGAAAUACACAGUGAAUCAGGGAUUCAAAAUUCUUAGCUUUAUCUAAGUUUACCCAGAUGUGUCUAUCCUUCCCAAUCAGUGCUCUUGGCAGGAGACUUGGCAAGUCUGCGAAGUCAACUUAUGUUAUAAUUCUGCAACCCACACAAGUUCUUAUUUUCAAUGAGGGUAACCUUGCAGCCACACAAAAUAGCAAAAUUUUUUAAGGAGUACCAUAGACACACUCUGGUUCUCUGUGUUCAGUGUUUUAAGCCUAUCUUUUUGUUCCCCUGUAAGCUCUUCAAUGUAGUCCAAAAUACACCAUCUGUGGUAGGCAGAAUUCUAAGAAGGUUCCAAAGAUUCUCACCCAUGGUGUAGAGAACUUGUAUAAUUUUCUCCCCUAAAGUGUAGGUGGAGCCCGUGAAUAGGAUGGGAUAUUAAUACCAUGAUUGUGUUAUAUUUUGAGACAAAAAAAAUUUUGUAGAUGUAAUUAAAGGUACUAAUCAGUUGACUAUGAGUUUAUCAAAAGGGAGAUCAUCCAGGUGGGCCUGACCUAAUCAUAUCAGCCCUCUAAAUCCUGGUCUAUGGGUCAGAGAAAGAGGAAGGCAGAGAUUUAAAGCAUGAGAGAAAUUCAAAGCAAACUAGAUUCUCCAUUGCUGUCUUUGAAGACAGGCAGCCAUGUGGCAAGGAAUGUGGGUAGCCGAUAGUGGCCGAUGACAGCUCCCAGCCCACACUUCAAGUUUAGCCUCGUAGGGCCCUGAGCAGGGGACACAACUAUACUGCAUUUACAAC
rnacentral:lncRNA from 1 species